rnacentral:rRNA from 1 species
AUUCCAGCUCCAAUAGCGUAUAUUAAAGCUGUUGUGGUUAAAAAGCUCGUAGUUGGAUCUCAACAGCCUUGAAGCGGUUAACUUUGUAGUUUUACUGCUUUAUAGGCUGUGCUUUUGCUGGAGGUUUGGGGGUGCUCUUGAUCGAGUGUCUCUGGAUGCCAGCAGGUUUACUUUGAAAAAAUUAGAGUGUUCAAAGCAGGCGUCGGCUUGAAUACAUUAGCAUGGAAUAAUGGAAUAGGACUUUGGUUCUAUUUUGUUGGUUUCUAGGACCGAAGUAAUGAUUAAUAGGGACAGUUGGGGGCAUUAGUAUUUAAUUGUCAGAGGUGGAAUUCUCGGAUUUGUUAAAGACUAACUUAUGCGAAAGCAUUUGCCAAGGAUGUUUUCAUCA